ACCUGCGGGCGGGCCUUGGCAGGGGAGCCUCAGGGCUCGCCGGUUUGGUGGUGCCGGUCUGCUAACCCUGCCCUGUGCUCGCCCACCCGA
rnacentral:antisense_RNA from 1 species